rnacentral:snRNA from 1 species
UACUCUUGUUUCUCUUCAGAUCGUAUAAAUCUUUCGCCUUUUACUAAAGAUUUCCGUGGAGAGAAACAGCAAGAGCAUAACUCAAUUUUUUGCUGCUCUGCACAAGCGGGGCU